CGAAGCUGGCCGCGGCCUGGCCCUUGGCACCUUCGGUGCCCGCACGGUGGCCACUCGCCAUCUCAGCCCGAGUCUCGGCCGGGCCUUCCAGAGCAUCGCUGCUGGGGUGGGUGGGGUGCAGGCGUGGAGGAGGCCUCAGGACAGUUUGUGAAGUCGACGACCUUCCCGGAGUCUGGGGGCGUCCGCAGAGAGGCGGCCCCCCAGCGCCCUCCACCCCUGGGACCCGGCUGCUGGCCGGAGCUUCCAGCUGGCCGCUACCCUCCUGCUAGUAAGACUUGGCGGCGUUGCGUGGCACUCGGUGUGACCCACCUCCUCCGCUAGGGACAGCUCCCCGAGCUGAAAUCCUCCUUCCAUCUCCUCUUCCACGAGGCAGGCUUUAGGCUGAUUAAAAACAAAAACAAACAAACAAAAAACAAAAAAACCCCCACACCUAGGUUCUUAAAGUUUAGUGGAGAAGCUGAGUUCAAAAUUAAAUUUGGAAUAUUUCAGGUGGCUUAAAAAAUAUUUGAGCAGUGUAGACGAUUGUGUAGUGAGGGUUGGUGCAGUUGGUAAGGUAAAUCUUGAUACCCUAUGAAACAGUGUCUGAAUAUCUUCAGUAGUUUUUGACAGCUGUGCAGUCACACUUGCGGUUCAUGAGAGCCAUGUACUUUUGGACUCUUGGAUCCUGCAGGGCAAGAAAAAUUUGACAGAAUAACCUCUCAUCUAUUCACAAACACAUAGAUUUCUAGUUUAUUAUUUAGCAGUCCUAUCUUUUGAAAAUGUGAAAGAAAAGUGGGUACCUACGAUAGUUCUCCAUUGCUGGAACUGGAACAAUAUUGGGAAGCUUGCCAAAGACCUAGCAACCGCUCACUGCACAGACCGCUGAAGCGCUGGUCUGUGACCUGAAGGCUGUGGAAUAUGUGAAGUGUUCUGCAUUCACACAGGAAAACGUGAAGGACGUAUUUGACAAAGCACUGUUGGCUGCCUUGUAGCCCCUAGAACUGACAAAUAGCUGCAGAACUGGGGUACUAGGAUUUGUGAAUAGCAAAGAAGAGCUAGGAGAUGGAAGAGUCUUACUUGGUGUCUGUUUCUUUUGCUGCCAAGCUAAGCUUGCUGGAUUUGGGAUGUUAUUGGAUGAUGAUAAUGAUCAUGGAUAUGACAUGAAAACUCUAAAGUGCACCUAAUCUGGACCAGAAUAUGGGAGAUACUCUAAGGUGUUAAAUGGUGGACAAUGAAGAAACUGCUGAGCCACCUAGAAAUGAACCUGGGCAUGUAAUGUGAGUAGGAUGUGGGGAGCGCUGGGUGACAUUCUUGCUGUGGGGACUAAUACUGAGCAAUUAUCAUGGCUGCAAGGGAGGGUUAGGGUUGGCGAGGGACAGUCUCCCUCAGUUCUAGUCUACAAGUAUCUGGCCAAUUUAAUGCUGACUGUCACUGCCACCCUCAACUUGACCAAUGGCCAAUGGGGAAUCUUAAUCUGAGAACUUUUGGACACCUCCAAGUAGCUGCUAACCUCAGGAGGUAACGGCCUGUCCUCAAGACAACAGAACAAGAUCAGCUUCCUGGACACUGACCUGAUUUCCAUUAGUCUCCUAUUUACAUACAAUUAUACCUACUUUAUAUUUAACUCUUUGUUGAAUCUACAUGGCCUGUUAGGAUAUCUGACCGGGUGGCCUAUAUUGUAAAGAGUUCUUGGUUGGUGAUGUGGAAGGAUAGGGGGUAGAAUUGUAUGGAAACCGCUCUGUGCAAGUGUCCUUUCGAAUAUCCAUAUACACAAGGCCACAGACAAGGCUUACUCUCACUUCAGUUAAAUUUUAGUAAAGUCCCCGUCAUCCUCUUAGAAUCUGUCUAAGAAUGAGAAGAAUGGCAGGCUUGUGAGGAACACAGCCAUUUUUCACCUACCUCUUUAUCUUCCCUGGAGGCAAUGAGACAAUUUCUCAUUGCCUUCCAGGUUCUAGUAAGGCAUAAUUUUUCUGCCUCAAAAUUCCCCUCUUCCCCUUACUUUAAGGUACAGAUGGAUGCUAUAAUACUCCAAACUGCUGCGUAUGAAAUUGGAUCCUCAGAAACAGAGCUCCCCAUUGCUUAUGUUACUUUGUUUUCUGACCUCUUUUGUUUUGGUGGUGUCUGGUGGGGCAAGGGACAUAGAGAGCUGGCUCCUUAGCUGAUCUUACUAUUGCUGUCUGUGUCAGAAAUAAACUGCCUCAUCUAAAAAGGGUUCAUUGUUUCUUUACCAGCUAAAUCUCUCAGCCUUGCUUGAGAGCAAUCAUGACAAAUGCUCUGUACCCACUUAUAUGCACUUGUGUGAGAAAAGGUCCAAGGCCUAUAUGUAUGGCCUCUUUCCGCAUCCCAUCUCAGUUUAAACACUAGUUAGAUUGAGUAAUUAUGUCAAAAAAGUGAUCAGAUUUAGUUUUGGUUUUUAUUGUUACAAAAAUUUUUUGUGUUUAAAAGUAAGGCGUGCUCAUGAUGACUUUUCAACAGACUAAUUCUAGGCCCCAAGUUUUGAAGCUGCUCACCAGUUCCUGUCUGGAGAAUAAUCUGGGACAUCUUAGUGUUUAAUUUUUCUUUUUUGGCAGUGUGUGUGCUGUUUUAUUGUUGUUCUUAAAUCUUGUUUUUUCAUUCAUUAACCAGUGAGCAGCUUCUAAGUGGAAACCGCUCUGUGCAAGUUUAGUUAAGAAAACAUAGGCCUCACUUGAUUCUCUAAGGAAGGAGAUUACAAAUGCCUCCUUCAAUAACAUACACUGUUGGGGCCUGAGUGGUGCAGCCAGUUACCUGUCAGACUCUUGAUUUUGGUUCAGGUCAUGAUCUCAGGAUCUUGAGAUUGAGUCCCUCAUCGGGAUCUGAGCUCAGUAGGGAGUGUGCUGGAGCUUUUCUUUCUCUCCCUCUUCUCCUCCCUGUGCAAUCUUUAAAAAAAAUAAUAAUAACAUACACUAUUUUUUGAAAUUUGCCUUUUCUCUCCAUCUUUGAAUAGGUAGGUAUUUGAUGAAACUCAUGAAAGUGAGUGGAACCUGACUUGUCCCCUUUUUCUAGGAGGCAGUGCAGAUGUUAUUGUGACUUUCAAGGUAAUUUGUUUGCUAUUUCCUUAUUUCUUUGUUUGCUAUUUCCUUAUUUCUUUGAAGUGAAUUUCUAACUUUGUAAAUUGAUAAUGAAGAAAAAUAUUAACCUUUUGAAAUAUACCAAAUGAAUUUUUUUAAGUGUUAUUUAUUUAAAUAAUCUCUACACCCAUCAUGGGGCUCAAACUCAUGAUCCUGAAAUCAAGAGUCGUAUGUUCUUCUGACUGAGCCAGUCAGGUGCCCCAAAUGAACUGACUUUUUAAUUUAAAAAGUUUUUCCUUGUCAAGAGAAAAGUAGAUGUAGCAACCAUUCUAUAGUUCCCAAAUGUAAGCGGUAUGUAUGCAUUUGUAUAUUAAACUUCUGUGAGCACACACAAGAAACUAGUAAUAGAGGUGAGGGAAUUGAUUGGUGAAGUUAGAGUAGGAACAGGGUACAUGUAACAAGACUAUAGAGUUCAGAGGAAACAACCAGAUUGGACAAUGUCUAUGUAUAUCAUUUUAUAGUUUAAGUUUUUUCAAAUGGAAAUUGUAACUCACAGUGUGCAGCCACCUGCCCCUUGUUCUUAUGUAAGAGUCUAACAUCCAUAGAGGUUAGGCAGAAGGAAAAGUCUGUAGGGUGGGAGGACUUUGCUGUCUAAAAUUGGUGCUUCAAAGGAACCACUUCUACCUCCACAGUCCAUAAGCAAGGGGCCACUCCUGACCUUGCCUCUCUGACCUUGUCACCUACCAUUCUUCCCUUUCCUCACUCUGCCCUAGUCCUCAUGAUCAAGCUAUUCUUGGAUCUGCAGUUCAGGGCAGUGUAUUUCUUUCUAAGUUUUAUCUAUGGACCAAAGAUCAAAGUAUUCAGUUAAGGUCCAGGUUCACAUUAUGUUACUAUUUCAGUGUGGCCAGACUUAUUUUGCUCCCUGUAAAAUCUAGCUAAUGAGUUUUCUUACAAAUAGCUUCACGACUACUUGCUCAUUCGGGACACAUGGUCGCCCUUCUACCAUCAACAUUCAUCUCUGUCAACCAAGUCAGUUGGAAGAAGACCAUUUGAGGGUUGCGGAAAUUCAAGGUCUUUGGGAUUGGGCACUAGUCAGAGGUCACACUGAGGAGAGCACUAAACACAUCCCAGACAUGUGAGGGCUGAUCCUGGUAGUAUUAGGAGCAGGCAGCCUAAGGCUGUGACUCAUGUAGUAAUGAGCCACAGAAAAGUUUAUGGAGACAGUGAUUAGUCCAGUGUUGUUGUUCAUCUAUAAAACUCCAUUUUUAAGACACAAUGGCGAGGCUAGGGUUUUGAAUCUUCCUUCUUCCCUAGUUUAUCAUUCUCCAGUUGCUGGCUACUAUUUAUUGAGCACUUACUAGGUUUCAGGCACUGUGCUAAGCACUCAACUGGCCCUGUCCUAUUAAAUCAUCACAAGCUGCUAUUAUCCCCAUUCUAUGGAGAAGAAAACUGAGGCUCAUGGAAGGGCUGUAUGAUCAAGUUUCCACAAUUCACAAGGCAUAGAACUGGGAUGUGAACCCAGGUCUGUCUGACAUCAGGUCUGUUAUUUUAACCAGUCUGCUCUACUAUUAGAAACUACAGAGGAACCCCAGAGGAGCUCAUAAUCUGAUAGGGAAUUCAAGGUAGGCCUAAGUUAAGGCAUAAGUAUGAGGCAUGGCCUCCAUUUGAUUCAUGUUGGCACUUAUUGUUUGGAGCAGGCCUACAGUAAGAGCUAAAAACUAUGUGUUGAAAAGCAAUGAUACACAUUGGUAUCAGCAUUCUGAGGGCUUGGUAUGUUUACCUCAGUGACUUUGGUGGAUGUAUUGUGAUGCAGAAGCAGCAGGGGAAGCCGGUACACCAAGGUUAUGUGGAGAGAUUCUAGAAAUAAUCUUCAGAUGUACUGACACAGGUUUGACCCUUCUGUAGAUUUCAGUGCUGCUCUUUUGUUGCCCUCUCUUAGGAAGUGUUUAUGGGCCUGAGAACCUAGGAUCAAUGUACAGGCAGCUCCAUUGAAGUCAGCCUGGGUGCUGCAAUUCUCUCGCCUCCAUGUGUCUGUCCCUGCUGGGCCUGGAUGUCUGCUUCCUGCCUUCCCAGUGUAUUACAAUUCUUCUAUCUCACAAUGAACACACACAAUGCUUCUGUUUCUUAAAAACACCCGAAGUCAUUUUCAAAAAUAAAAACAGCACUAGAUAUACUAUCUCUCUCACCUUCAGUUUUUAGAGGCAAAUAGACCUGGGUUCACUCCUGGAUUUUGCUGCUUCCUAUCAGGAAACUUGCCAAGUUUAUUUAUCCCCCCUAAGACUCAGUUACUGCUCUCGAUAAAGGGGUAUCUAACAUAGUAAAGGUGAUAUGAAAUUAAAUUAUGUGUGUAAACCACUUAGCUCAUUACCUGCCAUAUAGUUAUUCCUUAAUAUAUGUCACUUCCUUCCCUUUUCACUACUCAUCCCGGAAUGAGAUAAUCCUCUCUUUUACAUCUGUUAAAACUUCACAUAUCUCUUUUUCUACCUGCACCGUGGUAUUUCUGUAGUCUUAUUUUCCCCUUAAGACUACGGUGUCCUUAAGAAGAAAGGGUUGCUUCGAAUGCGUGACCCAUUCCCCAGUCCGCUACAUCCACCUCCCUCACCUGCCAUUUACACAAAGUUCUUUGUACACACUGUGUUCUUGUGAAAGACUUAUUGAAAACAUGGUUAAAAUAAAAGGAAGAAAAAAA